rnacentral:lncRNA from 13 species
UGAAUACUUUAUGCCUUCUUUGAAACUUUACAUUUAACAUUUUAUCUUUAAUUUUUAUUUUAAAAUAUUGCAUAAGAUCGGUAAUUUUUUUCAUUCCCUUUACCACUUUACUCUGUUUCAGCACCUAAAGUGAACUGCCACGUUAUCCAGCAAUCCCACUGCUGCGUCUAUACCCAAAAGAAAGAAAAUCAGUAAACCGAACAGAUAUCUGCACUCUGAUGCUUGUUCCAGUACAGUUUACAUAGCCAAGAUUUGGAAGCAACCCAAGCGGCCAUCAACCAACGAAUGGAUAAAGAAAAUGUGUUUUAUGUUAUGAACAUCAGGUGGUAGCCACAACGAAGAAAU